rnacentral:tRNA from 1 species
GCCCAUGUGGUGAAAUUGGUAGACAUGCAUGUUUCAGGUACAUGUGCCGAAAGGCGUGGGGGUUCGAGUCCCUCCAUGGGCA